rnacentral:rRNA from 1 species
UACGUAGGGCGCAAGCGUUGUCCGGAAUUAUUGGGCGUAAAGAGCUCGUAGGCGGUUUGUCGCGUCGAAUGUGAAAUCCCGGGGCUCAACUCCGGGUCUGCAUUCGAUACGGGCAGACUAGAGUUCGGUAGGGGAGACUGGAAUUCCUGGUGUAGCGGUGAAAUGCGCAGAUAUCAGGAGGAACACCGGUGGCGAAGGCGGCUCUCUGGGACGGUACUGACGCUGAGACGCGAAAGCGUGGGGAGCGAACAGG